rnacentral:lncRNA from 1 species
UCCCAUUUUGAGCUAUGCGACCUGAUCCAUCUAUGCAAUCCGGAUUCCAUAUAUAAACCCUUUUUGUUUUUUUGGAACUUAUAGAAAACCCUAAUCUCCCACUCAUCUUCGCCGCUUCAUCUAAUUGGAACUUAUAGAAAACCUAAUAUCCUACUCUUCUUAGCUGUUUCAUCUAAAUAAUCACAACGAAUCACUCCCAGCUUGAAGUCGAUCUCGGCCAUCGCUGAAAUCCAAAAGAAGAAGCAGUUACUAUUAGAUUUAGGCCUUUAAGUUCGUUGCCGGUUACUUCACAACUGUUUUCCUGCUAUUGUUUCCGAUGACCCUUUAAUUGCUCAUGAUCAAUGGAAGCCACUGAUGUCUUCUGUAAAGAUUUUGUUCGCGAGAAACGACCCGGUAGGAACUUACUUCGCACUAAACCGGUUUGCUUCCUUUUCUCCUACACCUAAGUUCCUCUUCUGAAUUUGUUUUUUUUUUUCUUGAUUGAUCUUAGUUAUGUACUUAUGUUUAAUUCAUUCAAUUUCAUCACGUUCUUUGUUUCGCAAACAAUCGGUUUAAACCAAUUGUCGGUGACGUAAUUAAGUUUUGGACACCCGGUUGUGCUAAUUCUUUUGAGAAGCUCUAUAAGGUACAAACCAGCAUUAAGGAACCGGUGACAUAGAAAAUGACAAAAAUUUUGGCAAAAAGAAAGACGGCAUGUUGUGGAAUACUUGCAAAGACGGGUAAUUUGACCAAGAAGUUGAUAUGAAUGGAGGAGGGCUCGGAUGCUAGGAAAACUGUAAAGGGUAAGGUUCCAGUUUCCAACCAAGAGCCUGUGAACUCUCACAAUCUGCUUCCUCAAAACGAUUACUAUUUCAAAAGAUUCUGCUUCAUUUCAUCUCAGCCGAUUCUUCGACACUUGCAGCAAUUCUGAUCUCUGUUUCACACUCAAAUUUUGUAUUUUUGUUUUAUUUUGGCUGACUUCUCAGCAACUGGUAGUAUGAAUCCAAUGAUCCGGACAAUGAUUACACCUCCGUUUCAGCAGAUGGCACCUGCACCAUGUUUUCCACCAUCACCACCAGUGACCAGCUACCAGCUACCAGCUGACCCAAACGAAUAGUCACGAGGGCUUGCUCUUUUCCUGAUCAUGUGGCAUACAAUAAAAAAAUAUAUAUGAUUACACAUAAAUAUUUACUAUCUCCUUGGAGUAAAAUGUUGCGUAGAGAAGUCGUGUAACUAUCAGUUGACUGAGAAACAUAACCAGUUGGCAGUGUAACGUGUGCAAUUGAUUUCGAUAGGGUGAGCGGAUCUUUGGUUCAAUUGAGGGGCCUAUUUUUCUACAUGCACAAGGCCUUAGAAUUCUUAGGGAUUCUUAAAGACGACUCUGGCGCAUAUCAAACUGGUCAAAUGCAUAUAGUUAGCAAAGGCGCACCCGAGAAGAUACUCAAUCCUGCACAUAACAAACCAGAGAUCGCGAACAAGAACUGCUAGCUGGAACAAAAGAGAGCAUGGGUGGCUUGUGGAAGUUAGUCGACCUUCUUCCGCUAUUCAACCCUCUACAACAUGACAGCGCCAAAACGAUCAGCAUAGCUUUAUAUCUUGGAUUGAAGAAACACAUCCAAGGUUGCGGAUUGGGUUCAGCUGCAAGGGUAGCUAAGGAACUAGGUUAUGCUACAAUCCAAUGAUGUGGAAAUGGAAGUUAGAGACGGGAAAUGUGGAGUUCUUGGUUAGCCAUGUUAGAAAAUGUCUGGAAAACUGGAGGUGCCUAAGGUGAAUUACUUUGCGUAGAGAGCGGUCGAUGGGAAGAUUCCUAGGGCUUCCAGUUUUGCAGUAAGAGACGCCCACUUCAGCGACGGCUAUAGGAUACGUGUGGAUAUUGCAGACUAUAUGUUGGUCGAAUGCUCGAAUGAUGGUACAUGAAAGUUCGAUGGUUCUUAAUAGCGACCUGGUGGAGAUUUAGUGUAAUGGAAAUUUUCGGCGAAGAAGGACAUGUCGCUGAUGAGUGGUGGUGCUGGUGGACAGUGAUGAUUAAAAGUGGGUGACAGUUCCAGUAGCAUGUCAGGUAACUGUUGCAGAAUGAGCAUAUGCGCAUGAUCCUUCAGGGGAUCUAUAUGUCACGUUCCUGGAAGAAUGAAUAAUUGUUUGGAUGAUUCGGCUAGCAAGGAAAAUCUUCAACUUCUGAAUUUGGCGUGGAUUUUCAGAAAGUUUAUCAGUUGAAAUAAAGUGAGUUAUCUUAUGAUUUAUUACUAAUGAUUUUGACUAUAUAUACAAUUUUUCCAGUUAUAAUAUGACUCACGCGGAUUAUAUCUCUACGAUAGUCACCAAGUAUGGGUUGGGGAUCUGGGCCAGAGUUAUGAUUCAAACAUCACACUUUCACAUUAUGAAAUGAACCCUAUAAAAGGGCAAGCGGUGUUGUUCGUUGGAGACAUUUCGUAUGCCGAUAACUAUCCUAAUCAUGAUAAUAAGAGAUGGGAUUCAUUGGGAAGGUUUGCAGAGAGAAGUAUCGUGUAUCAACCAUGGAUAUGGACCACGGGAAAUCAUGAACUUCAUUAUGCCCCUAAAAUCGUAGUCAUAAGGGACUCUAGGCUGAGGUUAUUGGUAAGAACCAAAUCAGAUGCAGGACAAGAGUUUUGUAAAAGGAAGAAAAAGAAGAGUCAUUUUGAUUGUAUUUGAUAUACGUAUAUACAUAAUAUUACUUAAGAUGAACAUAAAGUGACUUUUGCACUUUGUUUGUGUUCAACUCCAUUUUUCACUACUUUGAAGGUUUAUUUGAGGUCUUUUACUUUUUUUAUUUAUUAGAAAAGGAAAAUAUAUUAGACACUAUCGGAAAUAUGGAUCAUCAGUGAAGAAAAGUUUAGUUUAACCUGCAUUCAAGCGACCGCGUCUUGAAAUACCAUCACUAUUGCCAGCAUGUAAGGUAUAUGUUACAUAGAGUAUCAGUGUCAAGAGUGAUGAUUGAAGAAGUCAAAGCCGUUGCAAUCCGUUGGGUAAAAAAAUAGAUCGAAAUAAGUUGUAAUAGUUUUUGGUUGUGUCUUGGCGCUUUAUUUUGGGUUUGUAUUGUACUAUGGCUAAUGGAUUGCCUCCAUGUACUGUAAUAUGUUUCUUUUUUGAGGAUUCUAUACAAUUGGUGCUUGCUACUCCCAAGAUUUCUAAUGAUAUUAUGUUGGCCUUUUAAAAAAAACCUGGCUCAUGUUGAAAAAAGACUACAUUUGGUAAGCGAAGUUAGAACGAGAGAGAAUACACUCUUUUGGAUAGAUAAUUGUUUA